rnacentral:rRNA from 1 species
ACGUAGGUGGCAAGCGUUGUCCGGAAUUACUGGGCGUAAAGCGUGCGCAGGCGGUUCGUGAUGUCUGAUGUGAAAGCCCCGGGCUUAACCUGGGAAUUGCAUUGGAAACUAGCGGGCUGGAGUGUGGCAGAGGGGGGUGGAAUUCCACGUGUAGCAGUGAAAUGCGUAGAGAUGUGGAGGAACACCGAUGGCGAAGGCAGCCCCCUGGGUCAACACUGACGCUCAUGCACGAAAGCGUGGGGAGCAAACAGGA